rnacentral:lncRNA from 1 species
GUGUUUUCAUUGAAACUGGGGUAUCGGCCGGGAUCGUUCCCCAUAUAUUAUUAAUUGAUACCAGCUGACAACCCUAGACUGCAACUUUCGUGGUCAAUGUCUUCAAAGACGUCCCCAUUAUUGCUAAAGCAGGUUGCGAAUCCUUCGAUGCUGGAUCGGACCCCACUCGCAAGCCCUAAGAUCCAUUCGUACGGAGUAGAUGUAAAGAAAUCCCGACAAAUACAAGAUAACCCGAACAAAAAUGUUCCGCAAGUUGACUAUCGAUAAGGAAAAUAUCUUCUGUGUGUACAUUGUAUAUUGUAAAAGUUGGAUUGACCCAAUUCCUAUCAUCGUCAUGCCCAAGGGCUAGACAUCAUCGACUAGGAACUUUCAGCGGCGCGGAUAAUUUCAAGAAACAAUGACGAAGUAAAGUUCCAAAGAAUUCCCGAGCUGUGCGAAAGAAAAGCCGCGCCAGUAUAGUUAUCAAGUAUUCUGCUGACCCUGUAGCGCCUCCAACUGGUUAUAGAGCCCGUUUUCUACGGCAUCAGCCGACUCAAUUUUGAAAGGGGCGUGACUGCGGAACUCCACAAAUGUCAGUGCGUGGGUAGGGGUUGAAUUCCCAUUAGCUGUCACCUGUAGUUGCUGAAUCGCUUCUGAUACCGCCGCUUCAACUUCAGCUUGAGUUUGCACGUAUGGACUUGCAUGACAUGAUGCCAGACGUAAAAGAGGCCUGGAACGCGUGAUUCUGUAACUUGAUAUGGUGCUGGGAGUGUAGGUAUGUUAGAAGUUUGUAUAAUCGGCUAUGACAUUCAUGAAUCGAUAACCACUUGGCAAUCCCGUAUCGUUGAUUAGCAUGGUGUAGUAUACGCUGUAGUCCCACUGCGAAACCGAGAAAAUAGAUCGAUCUCCUCCGUACUGACAUGAAAGGGCUGCAUGCUCUCAAGAAGUGGUGGGAUACUACUGAGCAGAGUUUCCCGAAUCAGCUAGUGCCCUGUUGGGGUCUAAACCAUCACGAGGUUCACACCGGUACCAUUUUUUGAACACUGGGCAGAGACAACGGUCGAUGAAAGAAGGACAUCCAAGCCCAUUCGGGCCGAGGCUUUGUCAAAUAUCUCCCAGUUGCCGUGGUUGACAGUUACGAUAUCUGCGCCGGAUAGGACAUCCAAAAACGAGCCAUCCACAUACUUGAACACCUUGACGGUCAAUUAGUCCAAGAAGUUUGUGACCCCUUGAGCAUUAAAAUAAACGCUAUAUGCCAGGUAUUGUAGACUGUGUUUCUCAACAAACUCGGAGAUGGAAGCAAGGGGUCCGAUGGUACUGGAUCCGGCAGAUCCCAACUCCAUUCUAUGUAUGGAUAUUUGCCAAAGCUGUUCCACGUAUAUCAUAUAAUCCUCGCCAACUGAGAUAUUCAAGGAGGUUCCUAUAUUCAGUGUAAUCGUGGGUAGUCUCAGAAUGUUUGCACCCCAUAGUCAAGACUUGUUCUGGUACCAGAAUCCGUAUAACAGUUGGCAUGUCCUCCAAGGAGGCCUCUUUCUCCACUAAUAUCACCCUUUUUCCUAGACGUAGAAGGGUGAUUGCACCGUAUGUACCUGACGAACCUCCUCCAAGACGGCAACGUCCCAAACUAUCAAAUCUUCAGUGGCGUGGUUUCAAGGUCCUAACGGGUUAGUAGCAGCCAGACCAAAAUAAAGAAUUGAACAAGCAGAGACUCGCAUGAUUACCAUCAUUGGAUGUCGAAUUGUAGGGCAAGAUCUAAUGAAGGGAGAAUGAUAGACGAAGAUCAUCGGUUGUUUGACCAAGCUUAUAACUUAUACCUUUGGGCUAUAGUCUCACGAGUGACAUUGCAGUUAAUAGCUAUAUAUAACUAACACAAAACCUGCAAGCCUAAAAUACACGCCCACUUGCAGUUGACAAUUAAUAUAUUCUCGGUGAAUAGUCUGUUGGUGGCUUGUACGUGUCAACGAACAAGGCACCUCUUUGAGGAUAAUCUGUCCGUAUUCCCGGGGUAAUAAUGCCUAAUCUUAAGAAAAACGAGUCAUUGAAUGCAUUAGUAUUGUAAAAAAAAAAAGAAAAGAAAAGAAAGAAAAGGGAAAAAAGGUGAAAUACUCAACGACGUUCAAUCUGGUCUACCGUGCCUCACCCCUCGUAUCAAUCUAAGCUCAUGGUUCAUAUUCCUCUUAAUCAAGGCGCUCGAAGGUUCAAUAACGUGGGCAAACGAAUGCUCAAAGUCGGAGAAAAAGAUUCUAGAAUAGUCCAUCAUGCACUUUUCGGACUAUUUUAUUAUGCAUAAAUCUGGGCACUAGAAGCCCUGUGCGUCGACUAAUGCAUCCAAAAUGAUGGAACCAAACCUGCGGGGAUCCCACUGCAGGCAUGUUAUGUUCUAGGACAUUCUAUUGGCUUAAGUAUGUUAGGAUUGUUCGUCAUCAGCUGCCAAGCGCUGUCAAUAUCAUAUAUAGUUCUGCAGGUCGUGGCAAACCCGGGACCUCGUCCAAGGUGGGAAGAAGUGUCUCCUGAAAGGGCAAUUGCCAUGGUCCCAAAGAAGUGAUGAUUGAGGCAUCCACGCCAUGAUAAUCUAAGUCGAGAGGACCAUCGUCACGCUUGUUUGAUAAAUUUGAUGUCCAACUUCCUGCUUCGUUUGAAGUAGGGUAACAAGUCGCCCCACGACAACCCCGAGAGAGAUUCUCAAUUUUUGAGACCAAUCAUCGAUGUCUUCUGCGCAGGGCCAACUAUAUGCCAGAAGUUGAUUGCGCUCGAACCUCCUAGCAUCUUCCCCCUUGGCG